UCCGGUUUGUCACCGGCAGUCCACGUAGAGUUCCCUCCUCGCGGAGUAGCAACUAGGGACAAGGGUUGCGCUCGUUGCGGGACUUAACCCAACAUCUCACGACACGAGCUGACGACAGCCAUGCAGCACCUGUGUUCCGAUUCCCUUUCGGGCACACCCGCCUCUCGGCGGGCUUCCGGACAUGUCAAGGGUAGGUAAGGUUGUUCGCGUUGCAUCGAAUUAAUCCACAUCAUCCACCGCUUGUGCGGGUCCCCGUCAAUUCCUUUGAGUUUUAACCUUGCGGCCGUACUCCCCAGGCGGGCAACUUCACGCGUUAGCUACGGUACUGAGGAAUCGCUCCCCCAACACCCAGUUGCCAUCGUUUAGGGCGUGGACUAC
rnacentral:misc_RNA from 1 species